rnacentral:rRNA from 1 species
GACGGAGGGUGCAAGCGUUGUUCGGAAUUACUGGGCGUAAAGGGCGCGUAGGCGGUCCGUUAAGUUCGGUGUGAAAUCCCUCGGCUCACCCGAGGAAGUGCGCCGGAUACUGGCGGACUAGAGUACCGGAGAGGAGGGUGGAAUUCCUGGUGUAGCGGUGAAAUGCGUAGAUAUCAGGAGGAACACCGGUGGCGAAGGCGGCCCUCUGGACGAGUACUGACGCUGAGGCGCGACAGCGUGGGGAUCAAACAGGAUUAGAAACCCUCGUAGUCC